ensembl:snRNA U6 U6 spliceosomal RNA
GUGCUCACUUCAGCACAUACACUAAAAUUGGAAUGAUACAGAGAAGAUUAGCAUGGCCCCUGUGCAAGGAUGACAUGCUUUUAAAAUAAAAAAAAAUUUU